rnacentral:rRNA from 1 species
UACAGAGGUCUCAAGCGUUGUUCGGAUUCAUUGGGCGUAAAGGGUGCGUAGGCGGCGCGGUAAGUCGGGUGUGAAAUCUCGGAGCUUAACUCCGAAACUGCAUUCGAUACUGCCGUGCUUGAGGACUGGAGAGGAGACUGGAAUUUACGGUGUAGCGGUGAAAUGCUUAGAUAUCGUCAAGAACACCGAUAGCGAAGGCAGCUUACCAAGCUCUAACUGACACUGAUGCACGAAAAGUGUGGGGAUCAAACAGGG